UGGAAUUGUUAGAUUUGAAAGGAACGCUAAAAGUCCAUCUAGUCCAAAUUCCCUGCAAUAAACAGAAACAUCUACAGCUAGAUGAGGUUGCCACAGAGCCUGCUCCAGCCUGACCUUGAAUGUUGAUAACGCAGUAAUGUUUUAGUUUUUGCAGAGCUGUGCUGCCCAGUGCUAUGGACGUUUCAGCUCUUAACAGUGCCCUGCCAGUAAAGAGACUGGGGAUGCACAAGGAGAUGGGAGAGGACAGACCCAGGAGAGCUGACCCAGGCUGGCUGAAGAGAUUUUCCUUACUAUGUGGCAUCAUAUGAAGUUAUAAAACUAGGGGAGUUGGCCAGAUUGUGAGCCCUAUUUCUAUAGAGGAUGCUGAUAGGCCUUUACAAGCUGAUCAACAUGAUAGCAUAUCUAUCUGUAAUGGAGGCAAGACUACACAGCCGAUUUGGUUAUUUUUAGAGUAAGCAAUAACCCUGUGGUGAUACGAGUGUUUUUUUGUGAUGAAGUGCUGAGACAUUUGGGG
rnacentral:lncRNA from 1 species